rnacentral:rRNA from 1 species
AAUAUUGGACAAUGGGCGAAAGCCUGAUCCAGCCAUGCCGUGUGUGUGAAGAAGGUCUUCGGAUUGUAAAGCACUUUAAGUUGGGAGGAAGGGUCGUAGGUUAAUAUACUCCAAUUUUGACGUUACUAACAGAAUAAGCACCGGCUAAAUUCGUGCCAGCAGCGGCGGUAAUACGAAGAGUGCAAGGUUUAAUCGGAAUUACUGGGCGUAAAGCGCGCGUAGGUGGUUCGUUAAGUUGGAAGUGAAAGACCCGGGCUUAACCUGGGAAUUGCUUUCAAAACUGACGAGCUAGAGUACGGUAGAGGGUAGUGGAAUUUCCUGUGUGGCGGUGAAAUGCGUAGAUAUAGGAAGGAACAUCAGUGGCGAAGGCGACUACCUGGACUGAUACUGACACUGAGGUGCGAAAGCGUGGGGAGCAAACAGG